AUACGACAAUUAAGAUGUACCAGUUGAUUAAGUCACUUAUGAUACGACAGUUAAGAUGUACCAGUUGAUUAAGUCAGUUAUGAUACGACAAUUAAGAUGUACAUGUUAAGUCAGUUAUGAUACAAUUAAGAUGUACAUGUUAAGUCACUUAUGAUACGACAAUUAAGAAGUACCUGUUGAUUAAGUCAAUAAUAUAACAACAAAAAAUUACAUGUACAUUUUUAAGUGUUUUUAAAGUGUGAUUUUUCUUCCCUCUGCUGAUAAAGAGAGAUUAAAAUAUCAUUGCCUCUCCAUGAAACACCAGACAUUAAUCUAUUAAUAAAUCUAUUAUUAGAAUUUUUGUAAGUGUAAAAUAAACUUACUGUUGUGUAGUA